UUUUGUAGUCUGAUAGGAGACGAGCGCCAGACCACUCGAUGGGUGUCGAUUCAGUUCGAAUCGCACGCUCACGAAAGGUGCUUCACAUGUAAAAAAGCAAAAAGGGAAAUCCCUUUGGCCUGGAAUUAACAUCCCGCAAUCCCCGCAUGCAAUCUCUCCCUAAUCACUUGCCUCCCAUACAUCCUGAUUCCACUCACGGCCAACUGCACGCACAACCCCGAGCUCGCCUCGCCCAGAUCGCCUCCUGCCGCCGCCUCCCACGCACCCGUCUCGAUCUCCCGUCGUCGUCGAGCAACACGAUCGACCACCUCACCGGCCAGCCUCCUUCCCCUACUCCUCCCCACCACAUCGUCUUGUACAACGAUCUACCUAGAUGCUAAUUCUCCACGACACCACGACCGCAGUCCGACACGGACGAUGAUAGCUGGCACCGGCGGCCGUGAGUAAGAAGUUUGAUGGCAAAUCCCACGUAGGUGGCCGUGAUGCCUAUCCCAGCAGGGAGGUUGAAGUAGGUAUCGAGCAAUGACCAAGUGACAUCAGAUUGCUUCCUUCGCCUCUAGCGCCAUCCCUUGUCUACAGCGAUGGGAGCACUCCAAGCCGGCUGCACAAAACAGUGGCUCGCAUCGUCGGCUGACCUAGUUUUAAUUUGAUUUCAGUUGUCCUACUUUGCUGUAAAGGAGGUCUCGGCUAAUGGUGCACCGUUGCUGCAGUGCCGCUCCAUACAUGUCAAUCCUUCUUAAUGUCGCUAACCAUGGCUAUAGAAGGAAGCACGACCACCACAGGAAGGACACACACCUACCAUCACAAGGAAGCAUGGCCGAUAUCGGAAGGAAGCACAACGACCAUGCAUGGCCAGCAUUGGAAGGAUGCACGCCCGCCAUCAAAAUAGACUCCCGACUAUGAUCGCAAUGAAGCACGACCAACUUCGAAACGAAGCUUGGUGACCAUCGGCCAUUGGUGUUUGAGUGUUUGAACUGUGCCUAGAUUCCACGUUUUGUUUUAUGGGACCAAAUUCUGAUUUUUUGGAUGCAAAUUCUAGUUUCUUUGAUAGUAUUUGCUACAAAUGUUACCUGCGUCUCAUUUUACAAUUUUAGCAAUUGUCUUUACUAUCAACGCUGAAAGAUGCCACGCUGCCAUAUUAUACACCAUACAUAUGUUUCUUUGUUUUAGGUAGUUUCUCUUCCAUAGUUAUAGCCUCCAAAUUUUGUCUGUGCCAUUCUCUCAUGUAAACAUUCUCUUCAUUAAUACUGCAGGUACAUAUAGUAACAAUUGUUGCUUCCGACAUCCGAUACAUAUGCAUCAUGCUAAACCGAUGCAUGCUUCAAGCAGUUGUGUGUGCUCUCUUCAUGGUCGAUCGGUGUCGUGAGACAGGUAUAUAUGGAGGCAAGUAGUGCAUGCACUAAGAAACAUGGCAAAAUGUGGAUCCACCUCACAAUGAGCAUGUCCACCCUGCUUGAUGAAGGGACGCAAGUCCAUAGUCUUUAGAAAAUAACAAUAUGCACUUAGGAAACAUUGUACUAUUUGUGUCUAGAAGGAAGCAAAUUUGUAGCAUAUCCGAAACAUGUUGUAUGUACGGACAAAGCACAGAGAAAACUUAUGUUUGGUUACAAGCAAAUUAUUUUUAGAGUGGAAACACUUAUGUAGUGGAUGAAAGCAAAAAGUUCUUGUGUUGGAAACAUGUACAAUAAAAAGAGUAAAUGAUGGGACACAAAAUUUCCCUUGUGAAAACAAAUACUUGGAUGCAAGAUUUUGAUCUUUGCUCUACUGUGAGUGUUUUACCACCACAUCCCACUAGUUCAUAGGAACAUUAUUCUUUGAUUUUGUUUUUUGUUUCUACUAAUCAUGGCAGGUUCCAGAGUGAAUUGGGCUUCAUCGAUCAUGGGAGACGUGCCAUCACCUCAGAAAAUACAACCACCAUCUCAAGAGCUACAAAGACAUCAGAAUGCGCACAAACAAGUUCUUGUUUCCAUGCCACCUUUUAAUGGCCGUUUUAAGCCUGAUUUAUAUAUUGAAUGGGAGUUCGAAAUAAAUGCUAUAUUUGCUUCCCAUAAUUAUUCUGAACGUCAAAAAGUUAAGGUCGCGGUUGGUACUUUCACUGAUUUUGCUACUGUUUGGUGGAGUGAACAUUGUCGGUUAUACCCUGAUUAUGUACCUACUACUUGGGAUGAUUUAAAACUUGUCAUGGGAGAGAGAUUCGUCGAUGUUUAUUAUACUCGUGGCAUGAUAAAAAAAACUACAACAUUUAAAACAAGGUAGUGACACCGUAACAAAAUAUUAUGAUGAUUUGCAAACUACCUUGUUGCAUUCCUUUUUAUAGGAAACUGAAGAUGAUUUUAUGGAUAGGUUUUGGGGAGGAUUAAACCGUGAUAUUCAAGAGAUACUAAUUCUGAAGAGUGUUAUCCUAUGGACCAUUUGUUUUGUCUUGCUUGCAAAGCUGAACAGGAAAUAAAACAACAUGCUGCCCACAAGGAGAACAAGCGCGAUGUGCACAUUCCAAGAGUUGAUACGGUUGUCCCUUCAACUACUAGGUAUACUUUGACAACCACAUUCGUUGUUGUGAGGACUGCAUCACCUCCAUCAUGUGACACAUCACCAUCGAGAGUGCCUACAUCAUCUGAGUUGAUCAUAAGAGGUAAUGACAAAGGGCCUAGAACGGACAAGAAGGAUGAACAUUGGAGCAUGGUCAAGCACAAAGAAGAAGGUGC